rnacentral:rRNA from 1 species
UACGGAGGGAGCUAGCGUUGUUCGGAAUUACUGGGCGUAAAGCGCACGUAGGCGGCUUUGUAAGUUAGAGGUGAAAGCCCGGAGCUCAACUCCGGAAUUGCCUUUAAGACUGCAUCGCUUGAAUCCAGGAGAGGUGAGUGGAAUUCCGAGUGUAGAGGUGAAAUUCGUAGAUAUUAGGAAGAACACCAGUGGCGAAGGCGGCUCACUGGUCCGGUACUGACGCUGAGGUGCGAAAGCGUGGGGAGCAAACAGG